UUCAGAAUCUGAGCUUGUGUUGGUCUUUGAAUGAUGAAGGUAAUGGAGUUUGAGUUACUGGGUUUUUAGUGUUUUGGUGUUUGAUGCUUUGGUUCUUGGGGAAGUGAAGGUUUAGUGCUUUGCUUUGGUUCUCAAGAUUUCACACCGCUCAUUUUGGAUCCUUCUCAGCAACAUGUAGAUCCAUUACCUCUGACUAUACAUGCGAUAAUACCAGCUGCAAGAGGGCUUUUCAUAGCAUAUGUCUCGUGGACUGGUUGCGUUCCAUUACCACAACAAGGCAGUCAUUUGAUGUUUUAUUUGGAAGUUGUCCAUACUAUUUAGAACCAGUUGCAGUGAAAAUCAAUAGUGUGAAGAAGUAAACUAGGUCUUCCAGACCUGCUAAUCAAGGAUCUUGUGAUGUGCUCCUUUCCUGCUUAAAGUCUAGAGACAAGCAGACCAGUAGACCAUAAACCAUUGGGUUGAAGUUGAACCAUUGUGUAAUGGAGCCAACCACAUUUUCCCCGAGGUACAUUGGCAAAAGGAGAACCUGCUGCUGUGAUGUCCCAUUACGGGUUUAGAGAGCACCAAAGAUUGCUGCGGAAACUUGGUUGCGGCGAGAGAUCAAAGAGCUUUUGAAAAAGGCAAGCUCCUUAUCACAAGAUGGUUAAAACAUCAUCACAACUUGGGACGAAAACAGCAAAGCUGAAGACCAGAAAGGCUGAAGAAGCGAAACAGAAUAAGAUAGAUAAGAUCUACAACUGAUACAAAGAUUCAUCUGUGAUGAAUGAUAGUAAUGGCUUCUCUGGUGCAAAGUUGGAAGAUCUUCAAGAAUUUUUAGACAAUAUGAACUAUCCAUAUGAUUUCUUCAGUCUUGCAGCGCACCCAAUUCGCACCUUUUUGUGGUAGAUGAAGUGACUACAGCAAUUGUGAAUAAAACUGCAAUAGUAAUUGCUAGGCUAGCCUUGUAGUAGGUUAAUUGGGGUUUUAUUUUACCUAUUUUGUGAACCGUCAAGGAUAAUGAUUUUGGACAUAAUACUCCAAUAUUCAAAUUACUUUC